GAUGAACGCUGGCGGCGUGCCUAAUACAUGCAAGUCGAGCGAACAGAUGAGGAGCUUGCUCCUCUGACGUUAGCGGCGGACGGGUGAGUAACACGUGGAUAACCUACCUAUAAGACUGGGAUAACUUCGGGAAACCGGAGCUAAUACCGGAUAAUAUAUUGAACCGCAUGGUUCAAUAGUGAAAGACGGUUUUGCUGUCACUUAUAGAUGGAUCCGCGCCGCAUUAGCUAGUUGGUAAGGUAACGGCUUACCAAGGCAACGAUGCGUAGCCGACCUGAGAGGGGGAUCGGCCACCUGGGAACGGAGACCGGGUCCAGACCCCAAGGGGAGGCCGCAGGAGGGAAUCUUCCGCAAUGGGGGAAAGCCUGACGGAGCAACGCCGGGUGGGUGAUGAAGGUCUUCGGAUCGUAAAACUCUUUUAUUAGGGAAAAACAAAUGUGUAAGUAACUAUGCCCGUCUUGACGGUACCAAAACAGAAAGCCCCGGCUAACUACGU
rnacentral:rRNA from 1 species